UAGGUUCCUUACUUCCUUUACUCCCAUUCUCAGUCCGCCUCUCCUAACUUUCCAAAAAAAAAAAGUCCGCCUCCCCUCUUCUCAGUUUCCAUCGCCCUUUGUUCCAGAUCGGAUUCGCCGUUCGCGAGCUUCAGCCACUGCCCGACUGUCUCUCAACUCUCAAGCUAUGGAUUGAUUCAAGGAAAGAGAGAAGAAAGAGCGAAUUCAGAUUGUCAUAAGAAAGCUCUCUCUCUCUCUCUCCAACUGCUAACUUAUUGUUCAAAAAAUCAAAACCCAUAUCUUUCAGUUUCCAGAUCCAGAUCUCCAACCCCUAAUCGUCGUCGUCCUCUGUCCUGCCGUCCUUCGUCAUCGUCUGCUGUCACAUCGGAAUGAGGAACAUGGAGAUUGGAGGAUGAAUGUUGAGCAGCAUGGAGAUUGAGAGGAGCAUGGAGUUAGACCUACAAUUUUUUAUGUUGUUUUGCAAUGUUAUUAUUAAUGUUGUUAUGAGGAUUUGUUUUGGACUUAUUUAUUACUAAGGCAACAUAUUGAUAUUAUUGUCAAAA